ensembl:snRNA U6 U6 spliceosomal RNA
GUGCUUGCUUCAGCAGUACAUAUACUAACAUUGGAACGAUAUGGAGAUUAGCAUGGUCCCUGUGCAAAGAUGACAUGGAAAUUCGUACAAUGUUCCAUAUUUUU